ACAGAGGUCCCGAGCGUUGUUCGGAUUCACUGGGCGUAAAGGGUGCGUAGGCGGUGGGGUAAGUUUGAUGUGAAAGCUCGCAGCUCAACUGCGAAAUGGCAUUGAAUACUGCUCUGCUAGAGGCUUGGAGGGGGGACUGGAAUUCUCGGUGUAGCAGUGAAAUGCGUAGAUAUCGAGAGGAACACCAGUGGCGAAGGCGAGUCCCUGGACAAGUCCUGACGCUGAGGCACGAAAGCUAGGGGAGCAAACAGGAUUAGAUACCCUGGUAGUCCUAGCCGUAAACGGUGCACGUUUGCUGUAAAAGGAAUCGACCCCUUUUGUGGCGAAGCUAACGCGAUAAACGUGCCGCCUGGGAAGUACGGUCGCAAGAUUA
rnacentral:rRNA from 1 species